UGAUGACAUCAUCAGGAAGCUGUAUCUGAUUCAGUGUAUUCAACCAUGACCAUUUAUUGUUACACGUUCACGUUUUUUUUUGGAAGGUACAAAACCACCUCCACCGCCUCCACCACCACCACCACCAACAACAACAACAACAAUAACCACGACAACGGCUGCAACAUCAAAACCUCCACCACCGGCAACAACAGUGAGACAAACAACAACAACCAUGAUGAUGACAACGAGAACAGCAGCAACAACAACACAAACAAUGUCAGCAUCAGCAACAACUGACUCAAGCCUGGAACCACCUGAAAAAUCUAAUCCAGCCCUGAUCAUCACAGCUGUUGGUUUGGCAGCGCUCGUCAUAGCUGCUGUGGCCGUCAUCAUGUGGAGGAGAGCCAAAGGGACCAGAACACGGAGUGGAGACGAUGUUGCCGGAGCUGCAGAUGCUGAAGCUGCAGAUGCUGAAGCUGCAGAUGCUGUUUACUACGCCUCCAUCAGCCACGCCACCGACAGCAGCUCGGCCCGGCUUCCUGAACGUGACGCCGUGAUCUACAGCACCGUCCAGGCCCCCGUCAGCUCCGCUGCAGCCUCUGUGGACCCCGCCCACCUGUACGCCUCCGUGAAUAAGACGAGAGGCCUCACAGCUGAUGGUUUAUAUUAAUAAGCAGAUAUUUGUAGUGUGAACUGGAGACAAGAGCUCUGCUGCAGUGUUGUAUACAUUGACCAUGAUGUGUUGAUAUAUUUCUGUUAUUAUUAGUUCAUCAGCAUUUUAUUGAUUGUUGUAAAAAAGACUUUGUCCAGCAGGGGGAGCCAUAGAUCAAUAACAUCAGUCCAAAGCAGAGCAGUGUCAGAAGAGUCUGUCCACUUCCUGUUCAUGACCCAGAGGGCGCUAACUCCUCCAUGAACGGAGAUAAAAUCAUUAUUUUCACCUGCUUCUGGACUAAACAUCAGAUUUUUUCAUGUUUGACUCAUUUACACAGUAUUGAUUAAAUAUCAGAACUUAACUGAAACCAGCAAACUGUCGUUUAAUCUCUGUUACAGCUGAGGUCAUUUUGACAAUAACAUGUUAGCAUCAUGCUAACAGCUGCUGAUUGGUCAGUUCAGAUUAGGACUGAUGGUGACAGGAGCUCCUUUACAGAGACCCAGAGUCUGACCCCUGAACAAAGACUUUAGAAGAGGACCCGGAUCAAAACAGGGGUGAUGGUCUGCAGGGUAGAGGAGGAGGA
ensembl:lncRNA